GGGUUGUGAGGUUAAGCGACUAAGCGUACACGGUGGAUGCCCUGGCAGUCAGAGGCGAUGAAGGACGUGCUAAUCUGCGAUAAGCGUCGGUAAGGUGAUAUGAACCGUUAUAACCGGCGAUUUCCGAAUGGGGAAACCCAGUGUGUUUCGACACACUAUCAUUAACUGAAUCCAUAGGUUAAUGAGGCGAACCGGGGGAACUGAAACAUCUAAGUACCCCGAGGAAAAGAAAUCAACCGAGAUUCCCCCAGUAGCGGCGAGCGAACGGGGAGCAGCCCAGAGCCUGAAUCAGUGUGUGUGUUAGUGGAAGCGUCUGGAAAGGCGCGCGAUACAGGGUGACAGCCCCGUACACAAAAAUGCACAUAUUGUGAGCUCGAUGAGUAGGGCGGGACACGUGGUAUCCUGUCUGAAUAUGGGGGGACCAUCCUCCAAGGCUAAAUACUCCUGACUGACCGAUAGUGAACCAGUACCGUGAGGGAAAGGCGAAAAGAACCCCGGCGAGGGGAGUGAAAAAGAACCUGAAACCGUGUACGUACAAGCAGUGGGAGCAUCUGUUAUGGGGUGACUGCGUACCUUUUGUAUAAUGGGUCAGCGACUUAUAUUCUGUAGCAAGGUUAACCGAAUAGGGGAGCCGAAGGGAAACCGAGUCUUAACUGGGCGUUAAGUUGCAGGGUAUAGACCCGAAACCCGGUGAUCUAGCCAUGGGCAGGUUGAAGGUUGGGUAACACUAACUGGAGGACCGAACCGACUAAUGUUGAAAAAUUAGCGGAUGACUUGUGGCUGGGGGUGAAAGGCCAAUCAAACCGGGAGAUAGCUGGUUCUCCCCGAAAGCUAUUUAGGUAGCGCCUCGUGAAUUCAUCUCCGGGGGUAGAGCACUGUUUCGGCAAGGGGGUCAUCCCGACUUACCAACCCGAUGCAAACUGCGAAUACCGGAGAAUGUUAUCACGGGAGACACACGGCGGGUGCUAACGUCCGUCGUGAAGAGGGAAACAACCCAGACCGCCAGCUAAGGUCCCAAAGUCAUGGUUAAGUGGGAAACGAUGUGGGAAGGCCCAGACAGCCAGGAUGUUGGCUUAGAAGCAGCCAUCAUUUAAAGAAAGCGUAAUAGCUCACUGGUCGAGUCGGCCUGCGCGGAAGAUGUAACGGGGCUAAACCAUGCACCGAAGCUGCGGCAGCGACACUGUGUGUUGUUGGGUAGGGGAGCGUUCUGUAAGCCUGUGAAGGUGUACUGUGAGGUAUGCUGGAGGUAUCAGAAGUGCGAAUGCUGACAUAAGUAACGAUAAAGCGGGUGAAAAGCCCGCUCGCCGGAAGACCAAGGGUUCCUGUCCAACGUUAAUCGGGGCAGGGUGAGUCGACCCCUAAGGCGAGGCCGAAAGGCGUAGUCGAUGGGAAACAGGUUAAUAUUCCUGUACUUGGUGUUACUGCGAAGGGGGGACGGAGAAGGCUAUGUUGGCCGGGCGACGGUUGUCCCGGUUUAAGCGUGUAGGCUGGUUUUCCAGGCAAAUCCGGAAAAUCAAGGCUGAGGCGUGAUGACGAGGCACUACGGUGCUGAAGCAACAAAUGCCCUGCUUCCAGGAAAAGCCUCUAAGCAUCAGGUAACAUCAAAUCGUACCCCAAACCGACACAGGUGGUCAGGUAGAGAAUACCAAGGCGCUUGAGAGAACUCGGGUGAAGGAACUAGGCAAAAUGGUGCCGUAACUUCGGGAGAAGGCACGCUGAUAUGUAGGUGAAGCGACUUGCUCGUGGAGCUGAAAUCAGUCGAAGAUACCAGCUGGCUGCAACUGUUUAUUAAAAACACAGCACUGUGCAAACACGAAAGUGGACGUAUACGGUGUGACGCCUGCCCGGUGCCGGAAGGUUAAUUGAUGGGGUCAGCGCAAGCGAAGCUCUUGAUCGAAGCCCCGGUAAACGGCGGCCGUAACUAUAACGGUCCUAAGGUAGCGAAAUUCCUUGUCGGGUAAGUUCCGACCUGCACGAAUGGCGUAAUGAUGGCCAGGCUGUCUCCACCCGAGACUCAGUGAAAUUGAACUCGCUGUGAAGAUGCAGUGUACCCGCGGCAAGACGGAAAGACCCCGUGAACCUUUACUAUAGCUUGACACUGAACAUUGAGCCUUGAUGUGUAGGAUAGGUGGGAGGCUUUGAAGUGUGGACGCCAGUCUGCAUGGAGCCGACCUUGAAAUACCACCCUUUAAUGUUUGAUGUUCUAACGUUGACCCGUGAUCCGGGUUGCGGACAGUGUCUGGUGGGUAGUUUGACUGGGGCGGUCUCCUCCUAAAGAGUAACGGAGGAGCACGAAGGUUGGCUAAUCCUGGUCGGACAUCAGGAGGUUAGUGCAAUGGCAUAAGCCAGCUUGACUGCGAGCGUGACGGCGCGAGCAGGUGCGAAAGCAGGUCAUAGUGAUCCGGUGGUUCUGAAUGGAAGGGCCAUCGCUCAACGGAUAAAAGGUACUCCGGGGAUAACAGGCUGAUACCGCCCAAGAGUUCAUAUCGACGGCGGUGUUUGGCACCUCGAUGUCGGCUCAUCACAUCCUGGGGCUGAAGUAGGUCCCAAGGGUAUGGCUGUUCGCCAUUUAAAGUGGUACGCGAGCUGGGUUUAGAACGUCGUGAGACAGUUCGGUCCCUAUCUGCCGUGGGCGCUGGAGAACUGAGGGGGGCUGCUCCUAGUACGAGAGGACCGGAGUGGACGCAUCACUGGUGUUCGGGUUGUCAUGCCAAUGGCACUGCCCGGUAGCUAAAUGCGGAAGAGAUAAGUGCUGAAAGCAUCUAAGCACGAAACUUGCCCCGAGAUGAGUUCUCCCUGACCCUUUAAGGGUCCUGAAGGAACGUUGAAGACGACGACGUUGAUAGGCCGGGUGUGUAAGCGCAGCGAUGCGUUGAGCUAACCGGUACUAAUGAACCGUGAGGCUUAACCUUACAACGCCGAAG
rnacentral:rRNA from 1 species